AACGAACGCUGGCGGCAUGCCUAACACAUGCAAGUCGAACGAGACCUUCGGGUCUAGUGGCGCACGGGUGCGUAACGCGUGGGAACCUGCCCUUAGGUUCGGAAUAACUCCCCGAAAGGGGUGCUAAUACCGGAUAAUGUCUUCGGACCAAAGAUUUAUCGCCUUUGGAUGGGUCCGCGUUGGAUUAGCUAGUUGGUAGGGUAAAAGCCUACCAAGGCGACGAUCCAUAGCUGGUCUGAGAGGAUGAUCAGCCACACUGGGACUGAGACACGGCCCAGACUCCUACGGGAGGCAGCAGUGGAGAAUAUUGGACAAUGGGCGAAAGCCUGAUCCAGCAAUGCCGCGUGAGUGAUGAAGGCCUUAGGGUUGUAAAUCUCUUUUACCCGGGAUGAUAAUGACAGUACCGGGAGAAUAAGCUCCGGCUAACUCCGUG
rnacentral:rRNA from 1 species